CGGUUUGUAGUUUAAUCGGCAAAACA
rnacentral:tRNA from 1 species